UACGGAGGGUGCGAGCGUUGUCCGGAAUCACUGGGCGUAAAGGGCGCGUAGGCGGCCUGAUAAGUAGGGGGUGAAAUCUUGCGGCUUAACCGCAAGGCUGCCUUCUAAACUGUCAGGCUAGAGCACAGUAGAGGCAGGUGGAAUUCCCGGUGUAGCGGUGGGAUGCGUAGAGAUCGGGAAGAACAUCAGUGGCGAAGGCGGCCUGCUGGGCUGUUGCUGACGCUGAGGCGCGACAGCGUGGGGAGCAAACAGG
rnacentral:rRNA from 1 species